ACAGAGGGUGCGAGCGUUAAUCGGAAUUACUGGGCGUAAAGGGCGCGUAGGCGGUUUAACGGGUGUGAUGUGAAAGCCCUGGGCUUAACCUGGGAAGUGCAUCGCAAACUGGUGAACUGGAGUACAAGAGAGGGUGUCGGAAUUUCCGGUGUAGCGGUGAAAUGCGUAGAGAUCGGAAGGAACGUCGAUGGCGAAGGCAGGCACCUGGCUUGAUACUGACGCUGAAGCGCGAAAGCGUGGGGAGCGAACAGGA
rnacentral:rRNA from 1 species